AAAUGGAUAAAAAAUAUGUAUGUGUCAAGCAACUAUAGCCACUUGAUAGAAGAGUAAAUUAGAAAGUUCAGAUUACAUUAUGCCAACAGAGAUGAUAACAAAACCAACCAAGCUAAAAGUUGUCCAGGAAAACUUUUGUAUUGGAGCAAGACAAGUUAAUGACUAAAUGAUAGACUCACUGUAGAGAGAGAUGUUGGAAAAGUGGAUUUUGUUAACAAAAGGAAGAUAAGAUCAAGGCUGCCAACCUUUGAGAGAAACACUUCAAAAAAGAGUGUUUAAAUUCAAGACAUUCAGUUACAGUACUCUAUAAAAAUUAUAAAGUAAAAGUUAUUUAUUUAAUUUGGAAAAGCAUUUGAGAAACAGAGGAUGUGAAAAAGACUUUGUCCAUUUCAAGCUAUCUGUUGUCAAGUACCAGGCAUAUGUGGAUUUUAUUCAACAACUUUAUUAUAAAUUUGAAUAGCAACUUUCAAUAUCUGGAAGCAUUUUUAUCAGUAGGGAUGUAGAUGUUAAAUUAUAUAAAAAUUAUUAUUUACCAAGGAUAUUUAUCAAGAAAGUUUUUGUAGAUUAAUAACAGGUAAAAUUUGUAAUGAGAGAUCUUUUAUUGAUCAUUUGCAGUAGUAAGUGACACUUGUUAUAAUUAUACCCCCGACUCUGAAGGAGAGGGGGUAUACUGUUUUACCCUUGUGUGUCUGUCUGUGUGUCUGUCCGUAACAAUUUUUCGUUGCAGUUUUCUCAACAACUAAUCAUCAAAGAUGCUUGAAAUUUUAACACUCUAUGAAUAGGCAUGCCAUAUUGUGGGAUUCAUGAGUGAAUAUUCACAUCAGAGCGGGGGUAUUACUAGUGAGCAUUGGCUCACAGACUUCCUGAUUAUCUCUAUAAUUUAAGAAAUCCAGUAAUUGAAAGAUCUUUGUGCAAUUUUAUGAUACCUGGUAAUGCUUGCACACCUUAUCUGAAUCAAAUUUUGAGGAAGUACCACAUAAAACUUUUUUUGGG